AACGUUGUUCGGAAUCACUGGGCUUAAAGGGCGCGUAGGCGGCAGACAAAGUCCGGGGUGAAAUCUUUCGGCUUAACCGGAAAAGGGCCUUGGAUACUGGUUUGCUAGAGGGAGGUAGGGGUCUGUGGAACUUCUGGUGGAGCGGUGAAAUGCGUUGAUAUCAGAAGGAACGCCGGUGGCGAAAGCGACGGACUGGAUCUCUUCUGACGCUGAUGCGCGAAAGCCAGGGGAGCAAACGGG
rnacentral:rRNA from 1 species